rnacentral:rRNA from 1 species
AUUGAACGCUGGCGGCAUGCCUUACACAUGCAAGUCGAACGGCAGCACGGGUGCUUGCACCUGGUGGCGAGUGGGGAACGGGUGAGUAAUACAUCGGAACGUACCUUAUCGUGGGGGAUAACGCAGCGAACGCUGUGCUAAUACCGCAUACGCCCUGAGGGGGAAAGCGGGGGAUCGCAAGACCUCGCGCGAUUAGAGCGGCCGAUGCCCGAUUAGCUGGUUGGUGGGGUAAAAGCCCACCAAGGCGACGAUCAGUAGCUGGUCUGAGAGGACGAUCAGCCACACUGGGACUGAGACACGGCCCAGACUCCUACGGGAGGCAGCAGUGGGGAAUUUUGGACAAUGGGGGCAACCCUGAUCAGCAAUGCCGCGUGAGUGAAGAAGGCCUUCGGGUUGUAAAGCUCUUUUGUCAGGGAAGAAACACCGGCUCUAACACAGUCCGGGAAUGACGGUACCUGAAGAAUAAGCACCGGCUAACUACGUGCCAGCCGCCGCCGUAA